ensembl:lncRNA
GUGACCGAAGUAGAGUUUCUCCCUUUGCAACUGUUCAUGGUCGAGGUUGUGUCAGGGCGACACAGAGACAGACAGAGAAGACACAGUGGGAACAGAACAGCAGCAGAGCUCUCAUUCUUACCGGGACGUUAUUGGGUCACGUUUGACAAUCUAUACUUCCGAUCGACCGACAAUCCUUUGAAGUCCUCUGGUUCGCAUCCUCGCCAAGGAGAUAAGUAGAUUUAAAAGUUGAUUGAAUGUCUCGGGUCGGGACCACACACAAAAAAUGGGUCAUGAGGCUGCGCAGGGUGCUUGCUCCUUCUUCUCCUCCUGGGAUUCAAUGGCACCUUGUCUUCACUGCUCUUCUCUCCUGCUCCCUUUUAAUACUAAUCACGCUAUUGUAGCCUGAACUUAAACUCAAACAAUCACGAGGGGGAUGAUAUGCUUCAUAUGAAUCACAGGGGUGUCAAUCUUUUCAUUCAACUCCUGCUGACAAACCAAAUCGAACAUUUCCCCAAAUACUGAAUUACUAUUUUAGAAUAAAAGUAUAAAAAAGAUUGGGAUCUUUCCCAAAAGAAAAUGUAAUCACGGCCACUGGCUCAUUUUCAGCUUUCACCGAAAGGAAAAACCUUUGUGUUGUUCUAUCAGCUUCUUCAUACUGAUUGUAUCUAUUUAUUCCACUGUGAAGAUCCUACGUUUCAGCAGAAAGUCCAACCUCGAGGCUAAGUCUACUUGUCCCAUUUUGUCAGUCUCUUGGGAAAUUAUUAUGAAUAUUAAAGUACAACGUGUGAUUGCAGAUUAGGUGUCAGUUUGUUGGUGUGUCUGAGAUUGUCAUCUAAAACAUUACAGCGUUGGGCUUUUCUCAUUUUUCUUGCACUGAAGGAAUAAUUUUACAAUAUUUCAUGUAUCUGCUUGAACAAAACCAAUAUAUAGACUUCUAGUAAACUUUGGAAGUCCUUGAAUUAAUGGUUAAAUGGUUAUAGAGAGACAAUAUAGACAGGAUUAAUGACUUCAUGUUCCACAAAACUGCCUUCUUCACUCAUCAACAAACCUAGAGAUAAAGGUGAAGGUCUUCAAACACAGGACAGCAGUAUCUGUUUGUUUCUUUCGACAAAUCGUACAACUUUUUUUAGGGUCUUUGACCAAGUUAUCCCGUCCAUAUUGGGGUAUAACGUCCAAGUCUACCAAAGCUUAUCUAAUCUUACUUUUAUCUGGUGCCAAAGUUUGAUUUAACCUUCCUUGACCUCAUCUCUUCCAAUCAAUGUAAAAUGUAUUACUUUGUUCCAGUCAUUUUACCCUGUGAAAGUGAGUUUGUGACCGAUUAAGAUUCCUUUAAUUGUAAUUAAACAUUACAUGGAAGCUUGAAUAACGGCCCCUUUUGAUAAAACGUCUCGUCCUUUACACACAGUCACUCCUUAGAUGAGAUGUGCCAUGUGCCCGAUAUCCUGCAACAUAUCAGAUUUCCAAUUACAAUUUCCCAGCUCUCUUAGUUACCAGUUCAUCAAUGAAUGGGUCAGUUGUAUCUGUUUUGGUUUCAAAGAUAUCAAGAGGGACUGAAAUGUGAUCUCUUAACAUAGUAGCUUGAAUCAAGCUGGAUGUGUGCAGCUCUCACUGUGCAUCACAGUGUGCAUGUUCAAAGAACACGGUCCUACCUCCCUAAACCAUCACUUCGAUUUAGUUACACUCUCUCUCUCUCUCUCUCCACGAUUAUGAGUCACAGUGGUGCUAUAUGCAUGGUCCACAAUGAUAGAAUCCAGAAGGAAUUCCUUUAACUGGGUGCACUGACAGCAUUUACACGAGAUGGCGAAUGACAGCAGACAUUGUCACGUGCACAAGGUACCUGCUCUCCUGUG